rnacentral:rRNA from 1 species
UACGUAGGGCGCAAGCGUUGUCCGGAAUUAUUGGGCGUAAAGAGCUCGUAGGCGGUCUGUUACGUCCGCUGUGAAAACCCAGGGCUUAACCCUGGGCUUGCAGUGGAUACGGGUAGACUAGAGGCAGGUAGGGGAGAAUGGAAUUCCCGGUGUAGCGGUGAAAUGCGCAGAUAUCGGGAGGAACACCGGUGGCGAAGGCGGUUCUCUAGUACGGUACUGACGCUGAGACGCGAAAGCGUGGGGAGCGAACAGG